rnacentral:rRNA from 1 species
CCUACGGGGGGCUGCAGUGGGGAAUAUUGGACAAUGGGCGAAAGCCUGAUCCAGCCAUGCCGCGUGUGUGAAGAAGGCCUUCGGGUUGUAAAGCACUUUCAGUGGGGAAGAAAGCCUUGGGGCUAAUACCCUCGAGGAAGGACAUCACCCACAGAAGAAGCACCGGCUAACUCCGUGCCAGCAGCCGCGGUAAUACGGAGGGUGCGAGCGUUAAUCGGAAUUACUGGGCGUAAAGCGCGCGUAGGCGGUCUGAUAAGCCGGUUGUGAAAGCCCCGGGCUCAACCUGGGAACGGCAUCCGGAACUGUCAGGCUAGAGUGCAGGAGAGGAAGGUAGAAUUCCCGGUGUAGCGGUGAAAGGCGUAGAGAUCGGGAGGAAUACCAGUGGCGAAGGCGGCCUUCUGGACUGACACUGACGCUGAGGUGCGAAAGCGUGGGUAGCAAACAGGAUUAGAUACCCCGGUAGUC